rfam:Schizophyllum commune H4-8 unplaced genomic scaffold SCHCOscaffold_6, whole genome shotgun sequence.
UGCCCCGUGGCCCAGUUGGUUAAGGCGUGUGACUGUUAAUCACAAGAUCGAGAGUUCGAGCCUCUCCGGGGCAG